rnacentral:rRNA from 1 species
CCUUGACAUACUAAGAACUUUCCAGAGAUGGAUUGGUGCCUUCGGGAACUUAGAUACAGGUGCUGCAUGGCUGUCGUCAGCUCGUGUCGUGAGAUGUUGGGUUAAGUCCCGCAACGAGCGCAACCCUUUUCCUUAUUUGCCAGCGGGUCAUGCCGGGAACUUUAAGGAUACUGCCAGUGACAAACUGGAGGAAGGCGGGACGACGUCAAGUCAUCAUGGCCCUUACGGCCAGGGCUACACACGUGCUACAAUGGUCGGUACAAAGGGUUGCUACCUCGCGAGAGGAUGCUAAUCUCAAAAAGCCGAUCGUAGUCCGGAUCGCAGUCUGCAACUCGACUGCGUGAAGUCGGAAUCGCUAGUAAUCGCGGAUCAGAAUGCCGCGGUGAAUACGUUCCCGGGCCUUGUACACACCGCCCGUCACACCAUGGGAGUUUGUUGCACCAGAAGUAGGUAGUCUAACCGCAAGGAGGACGCUUACCACGGUGUGGCCGAUGACUGGGGUGAAGUCGUAACAAGGUAGGCGUAGAUGA